rnacentral:lncRNA from 1 species
UCAGAAAUUUUUUCUCCAAUAGCCUCUUCAAACUACCACGUAGGUUAACAAACAUUCUUCUCACUCUUCAAAUCUGCAACCUUCUUCUCACUCUUCAAAUCUAUAAAUAAAGGCUAAAAACAUUUAUUACACUUGAUAAGUUUGAUGUAUAACUCAUUAAAUUGAAGAGACUGAUGAUGCACAAAAUAUGAAAAUAGCAAAUAAUGCUCUUCAAAUUGUUACGUAAGUCAACAGCCAUCAAUUUAAAGAAUUUAUUUUGCUACUACUUUUGGAGAUGCUCUAAGGGACUAGUAAGAAUUGAAGUUACUAGAGUUUGAAGACUAGAUAUUUAUUACGAAAAGAAGGUGAAUAAUAUUAUAAAGAAACACAAAAUAAAAUUAUUAACGAGAUAAUCAUGUAAUUCUAUCAUCCGCUACUAAUAGUAAUCACAUUUGAUACUAUUAAUAACGGAUGACGGAAUUUAAUAUAAGACUUAUACUUUAUUUACAUAAAUAUUUUCAAUUAUUUUUUUUUUAUUUUGGGCGAUUGAUAAUUAAUGGUUGAGUAAUAGAGUAAAUAUGUAUUUUAACGAUAUUUUUAUACUUGUUUUAACCACAUUUCGCACAUUCAGUGACACUCAUCAUAAUUAUUGUUUUGAUAUUAAUGACCUUUUUUUCUUCUGAAUAUCUAUUUUCUAUUCGUAAUAAAAAUCUAAUUGUCUUCUAUGAUAAGUACGUACAUAGUUAUGACAUUUAUUUGAAAAGAAAUUAAACAAUUGGAUUUAUUGAGAAAUUUUAUAGUUGGCUUGAAUUGAUAGUCCUCCAUCCUUCAACAUCAAUACAUCAUAAUACAAUUAUUUUUAUCAAAUAGACAGAAGAUUAAAAAAAAUAUUUUUAUUAAUUAAUAUUAUUAUCCUUCCUGCUUAGGUUGGGGAGUUAUAUUGAUAUUUAGUGCUUUCAAGAUAAGACUUUUCAAUUCUUACAAAUGAUAUUCUUUAUUAUAGCUUACCGAAUUGUACAAAUGAUAUUUGUGUUUAUCAAUUAUUUUCUCUUUAUUCUUAUUUUUUGUAACUGGGAUCAACUAGAAAUAUUUGGGAGUUGACACUCCCAUAAAAUCUUCACCUAAAAAACUUUUAUUAGGGGUCUCCUCAAAACGAUUAACUCCUUAAGAGCUGAAUAAGUCUAACUUUGGAAGUCGAUGAAAUUUUUUACCAAUAAUAAUUGAAAUUGAAAACCUUACAUAUAGUAGUAAUAUAUACUAGCUCUAGUCUCUAGACCAAUCUUGUUAUUAAGUACUCCCUCCGUCCUUAGUUAUUUGACGUUUUAGAGGUGGGCACAAGAAUUAAGAUAAUGAUUAGAAAUUAUUAAAUAUAAUACUCAAUUCUCUAUAAUAUCUUAAAUUUUUUGUUGGGAUAAAGAGUAUUUUGUUGGGAUAAGGAGACAGAGAGUUUAAUGAGGGGUAAUUUUGAAAAAAUUGUUAUUAAUUCUCCUAGAUUUGAAUAAACGUCAAAUAAUUAAACACAAAUGAAAAACUCUAAAACGUCAAAUAAUUAAGGACGGAGGGAGUACUACUUAAAUAUGUAUGCCAAGUUUUCUAUGAUGAUAAAAUUCAUUGACUUAUCAAAAUAAUAAAUAUAAAAAUAAUGAAAAUAGUUGAGUGGUCACACUCCAAUUUAUAUUAAAAUGAGUCACGUUCGAAUUUUUUUAUUAAGUUGAUAUCAGAUCACUAGCCCACCUGAUCUAAAUCCUUCAAAUUUUAAUCAUUGAUCCGUCGUUGAGUAAUGUAAUAUAUUAACUAAUUUUUUUUGUAAUUAAAAUAUUGCAAUAUGAAGCAUGAUUAGAGGUGUGAAUGGAGAUAUACACAGAUUUGAGUAAUGUAUAUCACAUGCAUUCAUUAAUUCCCUUUAAAAAAAUAUAUCACUGUAUUCGAAUCUUUGUACAUAUAUCUAUUCACGAAUCUAUCAAUAUAACUCCCCAACCUAAUCAGGAAGGAUAAUAAUAUUAAUUAAUAUUUUUUUAUUUUUUUAAUCUUUUGUCUAUUUGAUAAAAAUAAUUGUAUUAUGAUGUAUUGAUGUUGAAGGAUGGAGAUUAUUGAGGAUGGAUGACUAUCAAUUCAAGCCAGCUAUAAAAUUUCUCAACAAAUUCGAUUGUUUAAUUUCUUUUUAAAUAAAUAUCAAAACUAUGUACGUAUUGAUCAUAGAAGACAACUAGAUUUUUAUUACGAAUAGAAAGUAGAUAUUCAGAAAAAGAAACCUAAAAAAAGGUCACUAAUGUGGAAACAAUAAUUCUGAUUUUUAUUACAACUGGAUUUGCACGUGGAGCUGUAGUUAUAAUUUGAAUCUGGAUUUGAUUUAUUAGUUUUGAGAUUUUGGGGCAAAAAUUUGAAGAAAAUGAAUGGGUUAGGAUUUUUAGUUUGAGAUUUCUAAGUUUUAUGAAUGGUUGCAAGGGGAAGAUGAAUGAUUUGGGAAGUCUGGAUUUUGAAAUUGGCUAAAUACGCUUUCUAUCCCUUGAAAUAUAACCCAAUUUAUAAAAUCAAACUUAAUCUACAAAAAUUUAUAAAAGAAACUUUCAAGUACAUUUAAGUCAAUAAAAGUGACUCUCUUACCAUAAUUUUGGUCGAAAUACUGAUGUGUCACGACAGUCACACACUUUUAUAGUUUUAAUAUUUUCAACGUAUUUGAAUAUAUUUAAAGUCGUUUAAUAAUAUUUUUUUGUAUAAAAUGAUAUAAUUAAAUAGUAUGUAUAUAAGCACAAAUAAAAUAUAUAAAAUAAUUAACAUUAAUAAUUUACUUAAAUAAAAUAAUUAAUUCCACUUAUUAAUUUAAAUAAAUUAAUUAAUUCAAAUAAAAUUAUAAUCUAGACUCGUAGUACUUGUGAAUAAAAAUGCAGUUAAUAUAUGACAUUGGUCUCUCAAUGGCAGACCUCACUGUUUAUGCAUGGAAGCUAUUGAUCUGAUUUCUGAAGCUAUUACUAAAAUAUUCCUUAUCGGGAUUAAGUUGGUAUUCAGCAUUCAAAUUUUUUCUGUAUGUAACCCAUAUUUGUGUGUUAGUGGAUUCUAUACGUCCAUUUUUUUUUAGUAAAUUCAGAGGUUUUUGGAUCUUAUAAUAAUGAGAGUAUAAUUAAUGGGUAAAUCAGUUCAUUUUGACACUUGGCCAGAGUUUGUUCAGAAAUGCUAGGAUGACCGAGAAAUGAGACUGGUCUAGCGACGUUUUAUUUAUUUAUUAUUUUUUUAAUAACUCCCAAAAAAAUAUAUAAUAUUUAUUUUAAUUAAAAUUUUUACAGAAUUAAGUAUUUUUGGUGUAAUUUGAAUACAUAUAAAAAAUAUGAUUGUACAGAUUAUACAACCCAUUAAACUGUCAUCGUAGAAGGAUUGGAGUUUGUUAUAGCUCUGAGUUGGAGCUCAUAUUUGUUCAGCUUCUAUUUUUUUUCUUCUUUUAGUAAAAAACAAUGAUGUAUUUGGUUGAUAGUUAACACUGAAAGUGUUAUGAAGUGAUUAGCACGCAUUCUAGGGGCCCGAACUUUUAAAGUUCCCCGAACUUCUUAAGGGCUCAAACCUACACUAGGGUUCCAAGUUCCUAGAGAAGCCUGAACACGAGUUAAUAGGACUCAUGUUUUCAUCAGGUGUGAAAUGCAUAAGAAAUUAGACUCCACUCCGAUGGGGGCUCUUAUCCAAAUCAGUCCACAUGUAUUUGAACUUAUCAACAACGGGUUCCGCUCUAGAAAGGGGGAAACCCUAAUAAACAGAUUUAAAAGAUCAUAUAUAAAUACAAAGGAUGGUCUCUAGUAUUUUUUCACAGACACGCACACACCCUUUUACAUUCUCAUAUUACCAAUCUCCAUAAUCGCUUAGUGACUUAACCAUCGGAGUCGGAGGCUAAUAAUCUGCGCAUUCGUUCCUCUUCAAGUAUCUCGGAACACUUAGAAGGUGGUUGAGCAGGCAGAAACAUAGCGUUAUCAUUUGGCACUAGAAGGAUGGCAUUCUAAUAAUUAAACAUGUACAUAUUUGCUUUUAUUAAUCAUUAUUUCUGAAAAAGAAUGGCGGGUCAGGGAUCUCAUACUGAACAAUGGAGGAAAUGGCAGGAGAAAUUCGGCGUUCGAAAGUCUCGAAUCAGAAAUAGUCGAUUUUCUGAACUUAGGACUUGGAACGGGCGACUGGGAGUUGUCGUUGACACUCCAAAAUUAAUACCUUACUUCACAAGUAUUAGUAUAGUAACAAGUAAAAGUCGAUCCCAUAGAGAGUGUAUUAUUUUGUAUUUAUCCAAUUAUUUCCAAGAAAAGGGGGAUUGUUAAUUGAUUAGCUAAACUAGCAAUAAUAAACUGAGAAGAAAUAACAAUGAUUAAAAAGCUUCAGUUCUUCAAUUCAGUAUCGCCUUUUACAAUUAUGGAGUAGUCAAGUUAUAUAAUAUUUAUCCUUCAAUGAGAUUAAUAACCCUAGAUAACCGCGAUCGCAAAUUAUCCAAAAUUCUCCUUAAGUAUAAAUCUAAUGUGAUGAUUGCCUCCAAUAGAUCCUAACUAUCAUACAACCUAGAACUAUCAGUCUAGAUUUAAUAUGACAGAGCAUGAAGAAUGAGAAUUAGGUUAUUUUAAGCAGCAAUUACACAAUCAGAAAUUAUUUAACUUGUCUUCUGAAAAUCUAAAUAAUACCCAAAAGCUUGUCCACAAUCAAGUAUCAAUAAUCGCUACUAAUGAUUAGAUAUAAUAUCAUUUGAUUAAUACAUAUUUUAAUCUAGCAGAUGAUAUUUAUCAGAUUAAUUUAACUAGCUGUAGACACUCGAAAUUUUUCUUUUCUUGAACUAACCAUGCAGGAGGGCAAAAGCGUCUUUUCUACCCUAGAGACAGUUUCGGAGGACUACAGUAAACCUCAAACCACGAAGACAGCCCCGUGGGAUAUCAAAUCAAACCCCGGAGAUAGCACCGUGGGACAUCAAAUCAACCUCGGAGACAACCUCGAGGAAAGACAGAGACAAUAGCACUCAAAGCCCCAAAAAUAACUCUGAGGAAAGACAGAGACAAUAGUAGUUAAAGCCCCAAAAAUAACCCCGAGGGACAACAACAACCACUUCAAGCCCGAAAACAACCCCGGAAAGACAAAGGGGUCAUUUUUCCAAACAAAACAUAAAAAAACAGUUGGCCAUCUACAGAGAAGGUUACAAAGACCCAUCGCAGCAAUCCCGAGCGCAAACUACUCAAAAGCCAGCUCAACAGACUAUCUGCGAAGACCUGAAUAUGCUAUCCUGGUCAUGGAUCAAUCUUCUUGAAUUUGGAAAAGGGCAAGCCUUGUGUCAUUACAUAGCUCUCGGAAAGAGCUUUCUGGAAUGUUAUGGAACAUCUCUAUAGGAUUCCCAGAUUGCAAGUUAUGAAGGUUUCAAGCUAACUACGCGUCGAUCGAGGUGCACAUACUUUGAGAUGGCGGGGCCCACCAGGCUCAACUGCAGGUACACCUGCGGCUGAUUGGGCUAUAUAUAUCAGCCCCCAUCAGCUUAUUUAACAAGUUUGGAGGGAGAUAGAAAGGGUCUAGGAGAGAGAAAUUCGGCCAUUUGAGAGAGAAAGCCAACUUUUCUUCCGUUCAAUCAUUGUAAAUCUCUUAUAAAAACACUCUUAUACAUAUAUAUAGCAACAUAUCAAAUUUAACCUGUAGAAACUGAGUUCUGAAGUGCCAAAGCCUUUCGAUAGUCAUUCUCAUGUAAUUUCGUAACAUCUCUUCAGAUCUGCUUCUUUUUCUUGCUUUACACUAUAUAUAGGUACUAUACACACACACACAUUAUAUAUAUAUAUAUAUAUAUAUAUAUAUAUAUAUAUAUAUAUAUAAUAAUNNNNNNNNNNNNNNNNNNNNNNNNNNNNNNNNNNNNNNNNNNNNNNNNNNNNNNNNNNNNNNNNNNNNNNNNNNNNNNNNNNNNNNNNNNNNNNNNNNNNNNNNNNNNNNNNNNNNNNNNNNNNNNNNNNNNNNNNNNNNNNNNNNNNNNNNNNNNNNNNNNNNNNNNNNNNNNNNNNNNNNNNNNNNNNNNNNNNNNNNNNNNNNNNNNNNNNNNNNNNNNNNNNNNNNNNNNNCCAAGCUAUUUGAAGGUAUUUUAUUUAACCUUUGUAUUAUAUAUAUAUAUAUAUAUAUAUAUAUAUAUAUAUAUAUAUAUAUAUAUAUAUAUAUAUAUAUAUGGCAUAGAUCUGGUUUUUUAACCGUUCAUUUUCAUGUAAAUAGUCAAUAUUUGCAUUUUAUUAACUUGAUCUCUACUAGAUCUAGCCAGAUUUAGCUCUUAAUCGGUUCAAAAAUUAUAAAACUUGAACUUAAAAGUUAGAAUGGCUCAGAUCUGAUUUAUGUCUCAUUAAAAUCCAUGAGCGAGGUCAGAACGUACGAGGCGACACCAUUGGUUUUAUUAGCAUCUUUAGUCUAUCACUUGUGUUUUAAUUCAUCGGGAAUCUAAAAUAAGUUUUUUGAACUUAGCAGACUUAAAACGUGACAACAUAUAGUACCAACAUGUUACAAAAUUUUGCAAUUUUAACCAUCCUGAUAUCUAUAUAAUGCACAACUGUGAAAUAUCUUCAACAAUAUUCAAGAAGCAUGACUUUGAACACCAAGUAGCUUUUUGAAUCAAAAGUUGACAUCUCAUAUGUACCUUCUUAGAAGUUAACUUGUGCGAUUUUGUCAGUUCAAUUUGAAAACGCCAAAAUAUUUCUUUGGUAUAUUUAGUACAUGAAGCUCUAACGACUCUCCAAGAACGAAUUUUUUUGCACGAUUAACUGUAAUAUAAUCAUCUUGCUUCUCUUUGAUGUACUAUUUCUCAAUAGUUUUUUUAGAUUUUAAAACAAAAUCUUUAAUUCCCGUAAUACUAUUUACAUAUAUAUUCGUCAAAAAACUAUUCAUACUCUAACUCCUAGAUGUGGUUGUCAUUCCUGCUGUAAAGAAUUUUUUUAAAUACACGCCAACCCAUUUUCUUUUAAUUCAUAUAGAAAUUUCAACUAGCCGUGAUUAUGGAGACUAUAGCUUGCCAUCAAUAGUUUUCAUUUGUCCUCAAAUUCUUGUAUACUUAAAGACUUAAAGAUAUAAUACUUAAAAAUCUGACUUAGAAGUCAAAUGCGAAGACUAGACAUGUCUAAGUUUUUCAGGAUAUUUUUUACUAAUGUGCUACGUACACAAUGCAUGGGUACCCUAAAAAAUCACAUUCGACAUAACAUGAUCUUGAUCACUGACAAUAAUUAAGGGAUGUUUGAAAUUCAUUUCUUCAAGCCACUACUCAAACAACCAUACAAAUAAUAUCCUUAGUCUCAUUGCUCAAUAGUGCACACCCAUAUAAUACAGAAUGAUAAUGACGAUUUACACCACUGAAAGGGAAAAAUGGCAUGAAAUAUUUGUUUUCGGUAUGUGGUAUCAAAAGUAAAAAUGUCACCAAAGUUUUGAUAAGCUAGUAUUGAGCGAUAAUCUACCCACAUAAUACAUCCUAAAUGAUCAUAAACGCCUGGUUUGACACUAAAAUAAAAUCUACUCGGGCUCUCACACUGUAACUUUCUUAGGUAAUCUAUAACAGCUUGUGCAUCAUUCAAAUCUAUCGAAUCACGUAUAAUAUCUCUAACUAUAAUUCUCACAUAUGUCUUAGAGAACCCAACAUUGCUCAUACAUCAUCCCAAUGAGUUAAGAACAUUCAUCAUCAUACUUAGACCAAUCUUAGCAUUACUAAGGGUUUUAAUCAAAUCCUUAGUAACUCGAAAUAUUUUUGUGUGUUUGAAUCUUUGAAAGUUUACUUGGGGACGCAAAUUCAUGAUUAUGAUUCAGUUUAAGAGUAUACACAAAUAAAUUAUUUUUACUCUUAUCAUGCACAACAUAAAAUUUUUCUCUACAUUCUGUUCUAUCAAUUUAUAUAGUCCUUUCUCUUCUUUCCCUUAUUAUUAUUAUCUUCAUCAUCAGUGGUAGCCUCAUUUUUCUUAACAACCAUAUAUCCAUGUUACAACACUGAUACAAUCUAGAACAAAAAUCUUGAGAAUUUACAUGUUUUCUGAUAGUUUUUAUUCUUACUUUAAAUCUAACACGUUUCUCAUAUUUUCUAUUAAAAAAUUCGGCAUCUUCCAACGAAUCAAAAAUUUGACCAACAUAAGGAAUAGUAUCAUCAACUAGACGUGUUACAUCAUUAUUAUGAUGCAUUUCUUCGUCAAUACUUGAAAUUGAAUGAAAUGAUUCCUCAAAAACAAAUCCAUGGCAAAACAAAUCCAUCACCUGUAAAAAUUUAAUUACAAAUUACCGUAUUUGGCUGAUGUUCGUCUCCUGGUAUGUUUUCUAGUUAGCUAUACUAUCUCAAUGGUAUAAAAAGGUGAGGAAGGAAGAUCAAAAAUGAUCUGGUAUAUAUGCUUAGUACUUGUUUUGCUCUCUCAAGUUGAUUGAAGAUUUGACGAAAAAAGAUGAUCAUUUAGGUUAAUCAGUCCUACCGUUCACACUUUAGUUAUGCGGACGGGAAAAACAUAUAUUUUUAUGUUACCGUCCUACCGUCUGCACUUUAGUUAUGAGAAUGGGUCUACCGUCAAUAGUUUAGUUCUGCAGAUGGGUAAAACAUAUAUUUUUACCGUCCAUAGUUUAGUUUUGCGGAUGUGGCCCAGAGUCGGCCCUGGGCAUGGGCCAACAGGGCAACCGCCUAGGGCCCACAGUUGAGGGGGGCUCAAUUUUUUUUAUAAAUUUAUGUAUUUAUGUGUAUAAAAAAAAUAAAAUAAUAAAAUAAUUAGUGAUAUUAUGCAUUAAAAAUGAUAUGUUAGAAAACAUAUGAUAGUAUAAUUGAUGAUUUUGCAUCUAAAAGUGUAACAAGAAUACAUUUUAAAUGAUGUUUGUCGUUUAGAUUUUAUUGGAAAAAACUAAAGAAAUACCCAUUAUAGUUGGUAGAUUUUACUGAUUACACCAUUGAGCUUUUAAUUUUUUAAAUUACACUACAAAACUAAUUAUUAUUUUGAAAUUGGGUCAGUCAGUUAAAAAAAAUAAACGGACGUUAAUUUUUUAUCUACAAAACUAAUGAAUUACCCACUGUAGUUGGCACAUUUUACUUAUUACACCAUUGAACUUUUAAUUUUUCAAAUUACUCCAUCAAAAUAAUUAAAAAUAAUUAUUUUACAUAUUUUUAAAAAUAAUUAUUAUUUUAAGUAAAAAAUAUUAGAAACUUUUUUUUCUUCAUUAAAUGAGUAGAGUUUCAUAAAAUAGAUUCAAAAAUAUUAAAGUGAUUUUAAAUUAAAUUAAUGUCUACUUAAUCUUUUAACGGAAUGACCCAUUCUUAAUAUUAUAAUUUUUAUAAAAAAAACUAAAAAUAGAAAUUAAAAUUAAAAAAAAUAGUUAAAGAUAAAUAAAAAAAUUGAUUCAAUUUUUUCAAAAAAGAAAUUAAUAAUUUUUAUAAAUAAAUAUUAUUUUCAAGAAAAAAAAUUAGAAAAUUCUUCAUAUUUUAAAAAAAUAAGUAAAAUUUUAUAAAAUAUAGAUUCAAAAAAAAUAAACUAUAUUUUCAAAAGAAAGAAAAAAAUUUAAAAUUAGUAAGGUUUCAUAAAACUUUAAUUUUUUUAAAUAUAUAUUUUAUGAAACUUUACUCACUUUAUGGGAAAAAAAUUAAAGUUUCUAAUAUUUUUUACUGAAAAUAAUAAUAAUUUUUAAAAAUAUUUAAAAUAAUCAUUUUUAAUUAGUUUAAUGGGAUAAUUUAAAAAAUUAAAAGUUCAAUGAUGUAAUCAAUAAAACGUGCCAAUUAUAGUGGGUAAUUCAUUAGUUUUGUAGAUAAAAAAUGAACGUCUAUUUAUAUUUUUUUAACGGAAUAACCCAAUUUCAAAAUAAUAAUUUGUUUAGUGGGGUAAUUUGCAAAAAUUAAAACUUCAAUUGUGUAAUCAGUAAAACUUGUCAACUACAGUGAGUAUUUCAUUAGUUUUACUGAUUUCAUUGAUAUUUUUAUUUUGUAGGUACAUGUGAUGAUUCUUUGUUUCGAUGACAUUUUAAAGUGUUCUUUCUUAUUUUUUGUAAAUUCUUAUAAUUUUAAUAAAAUUAAUUAGUUGAUAAUUUUUUUAUUUUUUUAUUUAGUUUGUAUAAAAGGGCACACUUGAGAAAAUUUGCCCUGGGCCUUAGAAAACCCAGGACCGGCUCUGAUGUGGCCUAACUAUAAAAAGUUAGAUUUAAAUAUAUCAAUUCUUCCAUUUCUUUUGCAAAUUCUUGUUGGAUAUAUAUUCUUAUCUGGAAUGAUAAGAAAUAUGCAUGGCUAAAUAAAUGAAAUCAAACAAUGGAGUGACAACAUAUUGAUAUAUGUAUUCCAUUUUUUUAGUCAUGUUCAUGUUUCAAAUCAUCCCAUAUACGAUGAAUCAGACAUGACAAAAAUAUGUAAGAAAAAAUAGAAAAUUUGAAAGUCUUAAAUCGAACUCUUGUAAUUCAAGAUCGCCAGUGUGAAGAUGAGAAAUAAAUUCAAAAGUUUAGAUAUGCCAAAAUUUAGUUCUGCGGUCAAGUGAUAUGACAAAAAAGUUGGAUUUAAAGUUUUCAAUCUUCUAUUAAGUCUUUUAGUCAUGCAUGUUUUUCAUUAUCCGAGAUCACAUGCAAGAAGGAUAAUAUGAUAGCUUUAAAUCGAACUCUUCUAGUUCAAGAUCGUCACUGCCAAAAUGAGAUGAGAUCCAAAAGUCAUGCUAUAAAAAAUAUAAAUAGACAGAAGUACUUCAUCAUUUUAUAAAAGACUCAUCGUCUGCAUUUUAGUUCUGCGGACAAUGAUAUACCUUAAAAUGCCACCAUUUAAAGAUUAAUCGAGAAUAUACUCAGAGUCUAUAGAUUAGUUCUGCAGACGGUUGAUAUGAGCAAAACGUAGUUAUGUUAAUGAUAUUAACACCUGCCAUAUAUAGUGCCCACAUUUUAAUUAUGCGAACGGAUGAUGGGUAUUUUGAAUGAUUUUCCCGUCCGCAAAACUAAACUACGAGUUCCCCUAUAUUAAACUAUAGAUAGGGCUUUCUCUUUACCGUUCGAUGGAUGGAUGGAUGGAUGAUUGAAAUAUGUUAUAAGGAUAACCUUAUCCUUACAACGUUAACUAUGGAUUAAUCCACACACACACACACACACACACACAUAUAUAUAUAUAUAUAUAUAUAUAUAUAUAUAUAUAUAUAUAUAUAUAUAUAUAUAUAUAUAUAUAUAUCUUCUAUUUUAAAGUGUCUCUCUUGAGCCGCUGAAGUCAGAGGUAAAUUUGUGUCACAAUUUUUUUCUCUUUCUCUUAUAUAAGUUUAGUUAUAUUACUAUUUUUCUUUUUUAUAAUUUUUAUAUUUUUAUUUGGUCUUCCAAAUUUAUAAAUUUAUUUUAUUCCAUAUAAAUUACACACACCGCGUGUAUCACCGUAAUCUCUCAUAUUCAUUUGUUUUAAUUUUUUACCCUUAUGUUAUAUCCUUAUUUAUUCUCUCCACUUCCAUUAUCCACCACCUCCUAAUUUCACUCGCUCACUAAAUUUUAUGUUUUUACUUUUCAAAUUUGCUCACACAAUCGUGUGUGCCACAUAACUAGUACUCCCUCCAUCCUUAAAAAAUAAACAAAAUAUAAUCUGCACACAUAUUUAAAAAAAAAAAUAGAAAAAAAGUUCCAAAUUUAUAUUUAAUGGCCCUAUAAGAUUAUAUAAAAUGAUGAGUACUUUUACUUUUUUAUAUUAAUAGACCUUACUAAAUGACAUAUUUAUCUUUCAAUCCUUUUGAUGACAAAAAAAAUUAUACUUUUAAUCAUCCUUUUAGAAACAGAAAGAUUAAUUAAGGGAGUGGGAAAAUCUUAACUACUUCUCUUGAGGUUGUGUCACUAUUUAACUUAUUAAAAAUAUAUUAAAAUCUCCCCUUUUCAGUCAUAUAUUUUCUCCAUUUUCUCUUCAAAAUUUAUCUUCUCUCUCCCACAUUCCUUAUAAACCCCCUAAUUUCUCUCCAAUAAUUUUUAACUGCACACAUAUAGUGUGUCAUGAACACUAAUGUGUGCAUAUAUAUAUAUAUAUGACACAUUUUCUUGAUGAAUUGAUGGUUNNNNNNNNNNNNNNNNNNNNNNNNNNNNNNNNNNNNNNNNNNNNNNNNNNNNNNNNNNNNNNNNNNNNNNNNNNNNNNNNNNNNNNNNNNNNNNNNNNNNAUAUAAAAUGAUGAUUACUUUUACUUGUUUAUACUAAUAGACAUCACUAAAUGACAUAUUUAUCCUUUACUGUAUGUACUUUAUCUCAUUCUUUUGGUGAUAAAAAAUAAUUUGUACUUUUAAUCAUUCCUUUAGAAACAGAAAGAUAUAAUUAAGAGAGAGGGAAAAUCUUAACUACUUUUCUUGAGGUUGUGUCACUAUUUAACCUAUUAAAAAUAUAUUAAAAUCUCCCUUUUUCAGUCAUAUAUUUUUUCCAUUUUCUCUUAAAAAUUUAUCUUCUCUCUCCCACAUUCCUUAUAAACCCUUAAUUUCUCUUCAAUAAUUUUUAACUGCACACAUAUAGUGUGUGUCAUGAACACUAAUGUGUGCAUAUAUAUGACACAUUUUCUUGAUGAAUUGAUGGUUAAAUUGAAACACUGUCAUGAUUUUUAAGUAUUAGGUUCGACUAUUAAUUUUAUGUUAAUUUUUUACCGUUUGUUUCCUUAUUUAUGUCAAAUUUGAUUGAUUCUCCUUUUUGUAUGAGUUUAUUUAUUCCUUUAAUAUGAAGUUUGUUUACUCAUUUAUGUGAGUUUGAUUUAUUGAUUAUUAUAAAUUCCAUAUAAUUGUUUUCUCAUUUAUGUAUGUUUUGGUUGAUUAUUAUAAUUUUUGGAAGUGAAAAGAUUUUGAAUUUAAAGAAUUCGUAUUAAAAUGGAUUUGAUUACUCAUUGUUACAGUUGAUUGAUGUGAGUUAAGACAAUAAUUUAAUUAGAAUAUUCAAGAUUAAUAUACAUGGAAUUAAAACACGUGAUGUUUUAAGAAUUUACUUCAUUUAAUUAUUAUGAUAUUCAGUUCAACAUAAUAUAGAUAUAUUCGAUUAAAUUUUGAGAAGAUAAUUAUUGAAUAAUUAUAUUUUUAUUAGAGUAAUUAAUCGAACCAUAUAAUACAAUUUUAUUCACUGAAAUAUAUUGAUAAUAAAUUUAAUGUAGGUUAAAGUUAUUAGGACUCUAUGAAGAUAGUUAGUGUUUAUUAAAUUUUUAUUUAGGUAAAUAAUAAAAUUAUAGAGUAGGAUUAAUUGCAUUGUCAAUUUAAUUAAAGAAUUUAGUUGAAAUGUCAAUCUAUAUAGAAAUUUGAAAUUUGAGCUUUAAUGAAUUUUAAUUUAUUUGUAACACUAAUUUAGUAAAAAAAAUCUACUAUAAAAUUAAAAGAACAAACUUGAUUUUGGUUUCACUCAAAAUUUGGUUAUGCCUUUUCCUAUUAAAUAAGUAUCCUAAUUAAAUUAUAAUUUGUUAACACUUUAAAUCUUAACAUAUCACACAAUUUAAUUAUAUACUUAAUUCUGCAUCUUCCUUAUUAGAUUAGUUUAAACUGAACUAAAAUUCAUUCACACUUCAGAUAUUAAAAUAGUACGUGUUUUAAUUAUAUUAAUUUUAACUAUGAUUUUUUUGUUUCUAAAUUAGUGUCGUAACUAAAUUAAAUUUCAUUCGAACUUGAAAUUUUAUUAAAUUAGAUCAUUUGCUCAUAUCAAUAUUACCAAUGAAUUUAGUUGAAUAAUUAUGGAUAUCUUAUCAAUUAGUCUCAGAUAGAACAAAACUAAAAUUCAAUUAAACUUGAACCUAAAGUUCAAUAAAUAAGUCUAUUAUUACAUAAAAUUGUUCACAUACCGUUUAUAUACACUCACAUGUAUAUUUGAUAGCUCACGUACAAAACAAAUCACGUGAACCAUUCAUAACGUUAUCCCAUACCUACACUAAAUAAAAAUACUCUGUGCGUAGGUAAAUGUCAAUUCACAUAAUAAAAAGUAGGCAAAAAGCAUUUUUUUUACCACUGUGGUUAUAGUGUUUUAAGCAAUUAGCCAUUGUGCUUUUAAAAUAUUCAAUUAGCCCAUUGAACUUUUUAAAAUUUGUUAAUUGGGUCAUUCCGUCCAAUUUCAUAGACGGACGUUAAAUAAUUACACACGUGACAUUGAAAAAAAAAAUCAAAAAAUUAUUAUUUUCUAACGUGGCAACACAAAAAUAAAAUAAAAUAAAACCAUAGAUUAUGUGGCAAAAAAUAAAUAAAAUAAUAACAAAAUUAAAAUUAAUAUUUUAAUUCAUUUUUUAAUAAUUUUUUUAUUUUCCAUUUCCUUUCUCCUUCAAAUCCACCACCCGACCGCCACCCACCACCAGUCUCCACCCAAAUCCACCACCCCGACCGCCACCCACCACUAGUCUCCACCACGCCACGCCAAAUAGAAACUCAAAAAUCACCCAAAUUCCACACUCAAUUUCAGUUUCAUUCAGUCCAGAUCUACAUCUACUCCCAAAUUCCGGCGAAAUGGCUUCUUUGAAAGUCGAUUCCCGCCUCACCCAAACACUAACACCUCCUCCGACAGAAAUAUUUCGGAGGAGCAUAUCUAUGCUAGGUGGAGUUCUUAAUUGAAACUGGAGUUAUUAAUGAAGAUCUGCUAGGUGACACAGUCUGUGUUGAGUGAACAGAUGCUGGUCUUCCAUGGCUGAUGUUGAACGAAUUAUGAUGGUGAACUGAUGCUGGUCUGUGAUGAAUAUUAUAAUAUUAAUAAAAUUAAUAUUAUACAUAUUAUAAAUAUUUAGAUAAAGAAUAAGAAAGAAAAUAAAACAUAAAUUUUUUUUAUUUUUAAAAAUUUUAUAAGUAUUUAAAAACAUAAAAAUAUUUUUAUUUUUAUUUUUAAAAUAAAACAUACAUAUUAUAAAUAUUAUAAUAUUAAUUUUUAUUAAUAUUAUACAUAUUAUAAAUAUUUAGGAAAAGAAAAAGAUAGAAAAUAAAACAUAAAAAUAUUUCUAUUUUUAAAAAUUUUAUAAGUAUGUGAAAACAUAAAAGUAUUUUUAUUUUUAUUUUUAAAAUAAAACAUACAUAUUAUAAAUAUUAUAAUAUUAAUUUUUAUUAAUAUUAUACAUAUUAUAAAUAUUUAGGUAAAGAAAAAGAAAGAUUUUGAUAUAUUAUUUAUAAAUAUUGUAAUAGAUCUCAUUGUUACAAAAAUUUUGAUAUAUUAUUUGGAAUUAAUUUUUAAAAUAAAAAUAAUUAUUAUAAAUGUAUAAAUUUAUAUUAAUUUCUUUUAAGUAAAUAAAGAAGAACUUGGGAAGAGAGAGAAAUAAUAGGAAAAUAUUAUUUAGUUGCCAAAUCAUUGCCCAGUCAUUAAAUAUUUUGUUUUUUGUUUUUUUUCUGGCUGCCACGUAUGUAAAUAUACAAUUGAAUUUAACGCCCGUCCAUGAAAUUGGACGGAAUGACCCGAUUAACAAAUUUAAAAAAGUUCAAUAAGCUAAUUGAAUAUUUUAAAAGCACAGUGAUUAAUUACUUAAAACACUAUAACCACAGUGAUAAAAAGUGCUUUUUGCCAUAAAAAGUACAUAUGUAGUCACUAUGCUAUCAUACUAAUUAAGUUUAGUGCCAACUUUAUUCAAUUCGUUGGUAAUUAAGUGUUCGUAAAUCAUAUAAUAAAAUAAGAAGAGAGAAACGUAACACAAUAUUUAAUGUGAAAUUUUUUUAUAGCAAAAAAUUAGGUAUUAAAUUCUGAAUUUCUAGUAUAUCAAUAUAACGAGUUUUCAAUAAUUCUCUCAAAUUUUACGACUUAAAAUUAGAAGUUCACAAUAUCACAAUAUUUUUACACAUUAAAAGUUAUAAAACUCUCACCUACAAUACAAUUUUUUUUGCAUAAAAUAUUAAAACAAAAACCCUCUCCCUCACACAAACACAAAAUUCACUUACACACCAUCUCAACUCUUUAGAUGCUACACGACUUUUAAUUGUGCUACACUUCAACAAUUAAACAUAAGACUUUAUUUAUAAAAUAUCUAUAAAUCUCGUAUUUCUAUUCAAAAUAAGACACUUCUAAAAUAAUACUCUGGCUAAAAAUAAGAUCUUUUUCUCAUAAUAAGAUUCCUACAUAUAUAAAUAUCAUAUUAAAAAUAAAACACAUUUUUUUCAUUAUAAUAAUAGCAUAUUAAUAUAGAAAUAAUAGCAUAUUAAUAUAAUAGAAAUAAUAGCAUAUUAAUAUACUGUAACGUGGAACAAGCUUAGCCUUGGGGUGGCAUCGCUUCCAUCUAUAAAUAGCCGAGUAUGCAAAUCACACAGAAGGGAUAUUGAGAGAGUAUUGAAGCCAUGGAAUCACCUAAUUUUGCUUUAUUUGCUCUUUUUUCGCUCCUAUUGGUAAGUUCGUUCAAAAAAUUUAUAACAUACUUUUGCUUUAUGAUGUAUGUUUUACAAAUAAUGAUAAUUUUACACUUAUGGAUUUUUAAACAAACAGAUUGGAUGCACUAUUGAUGCAAGAACUGAUCCAGAUGCAUACUGGAAAAGUGUUAUUAAUGCUGAGGCAAUUCCAGAGGCAAUUCAGAGCCUUAUAAACAAGGGUUAUUUAGUAUCUCCUUUCUCCAUCAAGAAAGCUAGCAAUGCUGAAGAGAAGCAUUUGACCAGAGCCCAUGAAUCAGAAAAUUUACGCUUUCUCCCCUACGCUGACCACAAGGAUAAACCAGCCCAUGAAUCAGAAAAUUUACGCUUUCUCCCAUACGCUGACCACAAUGAUAAACCAGCCCAUGAAUCAGAAAAUUUACGCUUUCUCCCCUACGCUGACCACAAUGAUAAAUCAGCCCAUGAAUCAGAAAAUUUACGCGUUCUCCCCUACGCUGAUCACAAUGACAAACCAGCCCAUGAAUCAGAAAAUUUACGUUUUCUCCCCUACGCUGACCACAAGGACAAACCAACCCAUGAAUCAGAAAAUUUACACUUUCUCCCCUACGCUGACCACAAGGACAAACCAGCCCAUGAAUCAGAAAAUUUACGUUUUCUCCCCUACGCUGACCACAAGGACAAACCAGCCCAUGAAUCAGAAAAUUUACGCUUUAUUCCCUACGCUGAUCAUAAGGAUAAACCAGCCCAUAAAUCAGAAAAUUUACUCUUUAUUCCCUACGCUGAAAAUUAGUUGAAAAAUAACGUUCAACUAAAGACCUUGAAUGAUCAGAAAGGCUUAUUGUCUAAGCAUAUAUAUUCCAUGUGUGAUGAAUCUAGUUUGAAUGCAGGCGAGUCAUUGGAGGCCAGAUGCUACAAAAUAAUAACGACUAGCGUGGUACAAUUAGGCCUAUGGUUGUGAUUGUUAUCUAAAUUAAAAGUGAUUUGUGUCUGUAAUGUGUCUUAAUAUGUAUUUUGUGAUUGUGAUGAUAAAAACUAUCAGUUUGUUGUUUCUUUACCUAGAGGCUAGAUGAUUAGCCAAUUUACGUGCAUAAUUAUUUAGAAAUAAUUAGUCUGUUAUUCUUUGGGACUAACAACAGUAAAAUAGACCUACAAAGGAGAAAGGGU